AUUGAACGCUGGCGGCAUGCCUUACACAUGCAAGUCGAACGGCAGCGGGCCUUCGGGUGCCGGCGAGUGGCGAACGGGUGAGUAAUGCAUCGGAACGUGCCAUUGAGUGGGGGAUAACGUAGCGAAAGUUGCGCUAAUACCGCAUAUUCUGUGAGCAGGAAAGCAGGGGACCGCAAGGCCUUGCGCUCUUUGAGCGGCCGAUGUCAGAUUAGCUAGUUGGUGAGGUAAAGGCUUACCAAGGCGACGAUCUGUAGCGGGUCUGAGAGGAUGAUCCGCCACACUGGAACUGAGACACGGUCCAGACUCCUACGGGAGGCAGCAGUGGGGGAAUUUUGGACAAUGGGGGCAACCCUGAUCCAGCCAUGCCGCGUGAGUGAAGAAGGCC
rnacentral:rRNA from 1 species